AACCUUCCUCCAAGGACUCAUCUUUUGGACUUUCUCCACAGAGAAGCAAACAGGAUCAAGUGAGAGCCAUCCACAGUCUGUCCAGGGAACUUGCAGAAAAGAUUGACGUGGCGAGGAAGAGGCUGAGUGCAGCCAGCUGGGCUAAAGCCUCUGCUGACAAACAAUCAACAGAGACAGCUCUGGACCUGCACAGUGAUCCUCCUUCUGCCCCAGAACCUGAGACUUCCAGGGAUAGGCAAGAGAGGACAAUGACUGCACAAAUGCCUCUGGACACCCCAGGUCCUGAAGUGCUUUGUGUGACAUCCACCAGGGAAUGCCGUGGACUGGGCAGGAUUGGCCUGCUGGGCAGCACUGAGGGAGCAGCAGCCCUGGGCACACAGAGGGAAAUGCCAACUCCUCUGCCUGGUGGGAAUGCUGAGAGGGAAGAAUUGCCCUGGAUCACUCAUAGUGCAGGACAGAGUCACCUCAGCCCUGCAGGAGAGCUGAGCAGCACCUUGCAAGGUUUCCCAGUGAAUAAGGGCUCCAAGGUGGACAUAAGUCUGUGGCAUGAAAAGCCAAUAACCAGCCCAGCCUCUCCAGCUCACACAUUCCUCACUAGAAGCCCGCAGGGAGAACUCACGGCACGGAGGGAUCAGUGUGGAUGUGAGACUGUUUUGAAAGUUCAGAACCAAGAGGAAAUGGCCAACCCAUCUCCUGGAGAGAGCCUGAGGAUCUGGGACAGCCUGAACUUCCAGCCCUCUGCCACUCUGAGCACUGGCAGCUUUGAGCAGGACUUGGGUGAGGGAGAUUUUGGUGGCACAGAGCUGGAGGACAAACACAGGAGACACCUGGACAUUUUAAGACAAACCUCCUUACUACUGGCUCACAAACUGAAGCUCCAGCAGCAGCAGCAGAAACAUCGGCUUUUGGUGCUGAGGGAGAAGGCAAAGCAAGAGGUUGAGGAAAGCCACAGGUUUUUGAGGGGCUUGCUGCAGCUCAGUUCUGAGGACAGCAGGAAUUCCAAAGGCAGUGAUCCUCCUGUGACAAGACCUGACCACACAGAGCAGACACAGAGAGGACACUGGCUGGGAGGUGACCUUGCUGCUGGCAGCUACAGGAGCAGAUCACAGGCAGUCACAGCACAGCCAUCACACCUCAAAUCUGUUGUCACCUUGGGUGAAUCUGCCCCAUGGGGAGACCUGGGACAGCUCCGGGGACAGCAGUGA
rnacentral:lncRNA from 1 species